rnacentral:rRNA from 1 species
AUUGAACGCUGGCGGCAUGCCUUACACAUGCAAGUCGAACGGCAGCACGGGUGCUUGCACCUGGUGGCGAGUGGCGAACGGGUGAGUAAUACAUCGGAACAUGUCCUGUAGUGGGGGAUAGCCCGCCGAAAGCCGGAUUAAUACCGCAUACGAUCUACGGAUGAAAGCGGGGGCCUUUCGGGCCUCGCGCUAUAGGGUUGGCCGAUGGCUGAUUAGCUAGUUGGUGGGGUAAAGGCCUACCAAGGCGACGAUCAGUAGCUGGUCUGAGAGGACGACCAGCCACACUGGGACUGAGACACGGCCCAGACUCCUACGGGAGGCAGCAGUGGGGAAUUUUGGACAAUGGGCGAAAGCCUGAUCCAGCAAUGCCGCGUGUGUGAAGAAGGCCUUCGGGUUGUAAAGCACUUUUGUCCGGAAAGAAAUCCUUGGCCCUAAUACGGUCGGGGGAUGACGGUACCGGAAGAAUAAGCACCGGCUAACUACGUG